CACACGAGCGAAAUAGUUCGAGCGAGCGAGCCGGCCUGCAUCUCCCCCCUCCGCCCGAGCCAUCGUCUCCCCCGCCACACGCACACCCAAUCCCCUCCCCUCCAACCCUAGCCGCCCCGCUCCCCUCCCUCUCCACGGCGCCGCCGCCUCCUCCCCUUCUGCCCUGCUCUCCACCGUGCCGCCUCUUCCUCCUCUUCACUGCCCUCUCUAGCGGCGGCAAAGAUCUGCCGACAAAAGGGAGACGACGGCGACGCUCGAUCCGAUCUGCUGAAGAGAAAAGAUGAGAGGGAGAGAGACAAGGAAGGAGAGGAGGGAGAAAGAUAGAGGAAAGAGGAGAGCGAGGUGUGAUGGCAGAUGAGAGAGGGUCACCGGAAGGAGCGUGACGACCUGCAGACAAAGGGCGGCGGCGGCGCCGCUCGAUUUGAUCUGCGGGAGAGAGAAUAUGAGAGGGAAAGAGAGAAGGAAGAACAUGAGAGGAGGGAGAAAGAGAGAGGAAAGAGGAGAGGGCGUUGACGGCCGACAGGAGAGGAUCACCGGAAGGAGUGCCGCCGGCUCGUCGUCUUUCACACCGGGUGAAGGAGCAGGGGAGGCGGGCAACAAGGAUGGGAAGCAUCGGGCCGUCAUGGUGCGGUGGAGAUGCUGGGAAGAAGGAGGAGGGCGUCUGCAUCAUCCCCAGGGGUGCUCGUGGAGCUGCUCCUCAAUGAGAUCCACCAUGGAGCAAGCCGUCGUGGCAGCACAUCCCCGCCCCCUCUGAGGCAAUAGAUCAAGCACACCAUCAAACUGAGGAGCUUCAGUAAGGUUGCUCACCAAUGAGCCGGAAGUGUUUUUGUCCUGGGUACUUGCAUGAUUGAAGAUGAAAUUGGGUAUUC